AUGGCUCAGAUUGAACGCUGGCGGCAGGCCUAACACAUGCAAGUCGAGCGGCAGCACAGAGGAACUUGUUCCUUGGGUGGCGAGCGGCGGACGGGUGAGUAAUGCCUAGGAAAUUGCCCUGAUGUGGGGGAUAACCAUUGGAAACGAUGGCUAAUACCGCAUGAUGCCUACGGGCCAAAGAGGGGGACCUUCGGGCCUCUCGCGUCAGGAUAUGCCUAGGUGGGAUUAGCUAGUUGGUGAGGUAAUGGCUCACCAAGGCGACGAUCCCUAGCUGGUCUGAGAGGAUGAUCAGCCACACUGGAACUGAGACACGGUCCAGACUCCUACGGGAGGCAGCAGUGGGGAAUAUUGCACAAUGGGCGCAAGCCUGAUGCAGCCAUGCCGCGUGUAUGAAGAAGGCCUUCGGGUUGUAAAGUACUUUCAGUCGUGAGGAAGGUGGUGUUGUUAAUAGCAGCAUCAUUUGACGUUAGCGACAGAAGAAGCACCGGCUAACUCCGUGCCAGCAGCCGCGGUAAUACGGAGGGUGCGAGCGUUAAUCGGAAUUACUGGGCGUAAAGCGCAUGCAGGUGGUGGAUUAAGUCAGAUGUGAAAGCCCGGGGCUCAACCUCGGAACCGCAUUUGAAACUGGUUCACUAGAGUACUGUAGAGGGGGGUAGAAUUUCAGGUGUAGCGGUGAAAUGCGUAGAGAUCUGAAGGAAUACCGGUGGCGAAGGCGGCCCCCUGGACAGAUACUGACACUCAGAUGCGAAAGCGUGGGGAGCAAACAGGAUUAGAUACCCUGGUAGUCCACGCCGUAAACGAUGUCUACUUGGAGGUUGUGGCCUUGAGCCGUGGCUUUCGGAGCUAACGCGUUAAGUAGACCGCCUGGGGAGUACGGUCGCAAGAUUAAAACUCAAAUGAAUUGACGGGGGCCCGCACAAGCGGUGGAGCAUGUGGUUUAAUUCGAUGCAACGCGAAGAACCUUACCUACUCUUGACAUCCAGAGAAUCCUGCGGAGACGCGGGAGUGCCUUCGGGAACUGUAAGACAGGUGCUGCAUGGCUGUCGUCAGCUCGUGUUGUGAAAUGUUGGGUUAAGUCCCGCAACGAGCGCAACCCUUAUCCUUGUUUGCCAGCGAGUAAUGUCGGGAACUCCAGGGAGACUGCCGGUGAUAAACCGGAGGAAGGUGGGGACGAC
rnacentral:rRNA from 1 species